rnacentral:lncRNA from 1 species
UGUAGCAAAAUGGACAAAAGCCACUUAGGAUGGCUGGACACGGAAACUUCUGAUCUACUUUGCUGAAGCGGACAUCUAAAUGAAUGAGAUCUCAGACGUGUUUGAGAAUUUGAGGAAGGACGAAAUCGUUAAAUAUAACACGCUACAAGAGAAGUUACAACAGAAGACAUUUUCUUCUAAGAGCUGAAUAAAUUUUUCUUAUAGGUGAAAUUAAACCCUGUACUUAAUCAUUCUAAAAACCACACCCAUCAUUCAAACAUGACAUUUUGCAGUGUUUUCUAUUUAUACCUCUACGUAUUUAGUGUAACUUCUCUACUACAGAGCUAAGAAUGAACUGUCAGAAUCCCAAAAGGAUCAUAAAAAUGGGAGAAGAUGGUAAAAGGAAGGCUAUGCCUUUUUUCCUACUCUUGUUACCGAUGGAUAAAGAUGAUGAUAAAAAGAAGAAAAGGGAAUCCAUCUGAACACUCUCUCUUCCGGGACAGCCUUUUGGUCCGUCUUCCAGAAGUCUCUCCAACACCCUCGACAACUCAGCUGUCAAAGUGACUUAACUAAAACAUUUUUCUGGUGAUAUCACAUCCCACCCUCCACUCAAUAAACUUCACUGGCUCUGUAUUUCUUCAGGAUUAAAUAUAAAAUCAUCUGGUACUUUAUACAAAUGGAGAUCCUCAAGAAGGUCAAUAGGAAGAACCAAGCCAGAUUUGUUGCUUGUGAUUUAAGCAAGAACAGAUUUUCUCUAAAAGAAACUAAUUAAAAUGCAAAUUUCAUCUUGGGAGAGAAAAUUCCCAGUGUUUCCUCAAAGCCUGAGCUGGAUGACUGCCAGAGGUCCCUAUCGAACUGCAAGGUUCUAUGAUGUGAUUCUCUUCUUUUUGACCAAUCAGAACAAGGAUUUCCACUUGCACAUCUGUGGACACAUUGUUCUCAUCCCCUAUAUUAUUUUCACCUAUUUAAUUAUGGGCUUUUAUUCAAGAUCCAACUUAAACAUCAUGACUUCUCUGAAGUUUUUACAAGAUGUGUCAACGGACUAAUUUAUAAUAAAUGUUUUUUCUCAAUGUAUGGCA